rnacentral:tRNA from 1 species
UGACGAGUUGGUCAGGCCGAAGAAUGUCCGGUUUGCAUCCGGAAGGCCGCGGGUUCAAAUCCCGCCCGGUCCACCA